UUAAGCGACUAAGCGUACACGGUGGAUGCCCUGGCAGUCAGAGGCGAUGAAGGACGUGCUAAUCUGCGAUAAGCGUCGGUAAGGUGAUAUGAACCGUUAUAACCGGCGAUUUCCGAAUGGGGAAACCCAGUGUGAUUCGUCACACUAUCAUUAACUGAAUCCAUAGGUUAAUGAGGCGAACCGGGGGAACUGAAACAUCUAAGUACCCCGAGGAAAAGAAAUCAACCGAGAUUCCCCCAGUAGCGGCGAGCGAACGGGGAGCAGCCCAGAGCCUGAAUCAGUGUGUGUGUUAGUGGAAGCGUCUGGAAAGGCGCGCGAUACAGGGUGACAGCCCCGUACACAAAAAUGCACAUACUGUGAGCUCGAUGAGUAGGGCGGGACACGUGGUAUCCUGUCUGAAUAUGGGGGGACCAUCCUCCAAGGCUAAAUACUCCUGACUGACCGAUAGUGAACCAGUACCGUGAGGGAAAGGCGAAAAGAACCCCGGCGAGGGGAGUGAAAAAGAACCUGAAACCGUGUACGUACAAGCAGUGGGAGCCUCUUUUAUGGGGUGACUGCGUACCUUUUGUAUAAUGGGUCAGCGACUUAUAUUCUGUAGCAAGGUUAACCGAAUAGGGGAGCCGAAGGGAAACCGAGUCUUAACCGGGCGUUAAGUUGCAGGGUAUAGACCCGAAACCCGGUGAUCUAGCCAUGGGCAGGUUGAAGGUUGGGUAACACUAACUGGAGGACCGAACCGACUAAUGUUGAAAAAUUAGCGGAUGACUUGUGGCUGGGGGUGAAAGGCCAAUCAAACCGGGAGAUAGCUGGUUCUCCCCGAAAGCUAUUUAGGUAGCGCCUCGUGAAUUCAUCUCCGGGGGUAGAGCACUGUUUCGGCAAGGGGGUCAUCCCGACUUACCAACCCGAUGCAAACUGCGAAUACCGGAGAAUGUUAUCACGGGAGACACACGGCGGGUGCUAACGUCCGUCGUGAAGAGGGAAACAACCCAGACCGCCAGCUAAGGUCCCAAAGUCAUGGUUAAGUGGGAAACGAUGUGGGAAGGCCCAGACAGCCAGGAUGUUGGCUUAGAAGCAGCCAUCAUUUAAAGAAAGCGUAAUAGCUCACUGGUCGAGUCGGCCUGCGCGGAAGAUGUAACGGGGCUAAACCAUGCACCGAAGCUGCGGCAGCGACACUGUGUGUUGUUGGGUAGGGGAGCGUUCUGUAAGCCUGUGAAGGUGUACUGUGAGGUAUGCUGGAGGUAUCAGAAGUGCGAAUGCUGACAUAAGUAACGAUAAAGCGGGUGAAAAGCCCGCUCGCCGGAAGACCAAGGGUUCCUGUCCAACGUUAAUCGGGGCAGGGUGAGUCGACCCCUAAGGCGAGGCCGAAAGGCGUAGUCGAUGGGAAACAGGUUAAUAUUCCUGUACUUGGUGUUACUGCGAAGGGGGGACGGAGAAGGCUAUGUUGGCCGGGCGACGGUUGUCCCGGUUUAAGCGUGUAGGCUGGUUUUCCAGGCAAAUCCGGAAAAUCAAGGCUGAGGCGUGAUGACGAGGCACUACGGUGCUGAAGCAACAAAUGCCCUGCUUCCAGGAAAAGCCUCUAAGCAUCAGGUAACAUCAAAUCGUACCCCAAACCGACACAGGUGGUCAGGUAGAGAAUACCAAGGCGCUUGAGAGAACUCGGGUGAAGGAACUAGGCAAAAUGGUGCCGUAACUUCGGGAGAAGGCACGCUGAUAUGUAGGUGAAGUCCCUCGCGGAUGGAGCUGAAAUCAGUCGAAGAUACCAGCUGGCUGCAACUGUUUAUUAAAAACACAGCACUGUGCAAACACGAAAGUGGACGUAUACGGUGUGACGCCUGCCCGGUGCCGGAAGGUUAAUUGAUGGGGUCAGCGCAAGCGAAGCUCUUGAUCGAAGCCCCGGUAAACGGCGGCCGUAACUAUAACGGUCCUAAGGUAGCGAAAUUCCUUGUCGGGUAAGUUCCGACCUGCACGAAUGGCGUAAUGAUGGCCAGGCUGUCUCCACCCGAGACUCAGUGAAAUUGAACUCGCUGUGAAGAUGCAGUGUACCCGCGGCAAGACGGAAAGACCCCGUGAACCUUUACUAUAGCUUGACACUGAACAUUGAGCCUUGAUGUGUAGGAUAGGUGGGAGGCUUUGAAGUGUGGACGCCAGUCUGCAUGGAGCCGACCUUGAAAUACCACCCUUUAAUGUUUGAUGUUCUAACGUGGACCCGUGAUCCGGGUUGCGGACAGUGUCUGGUGGGUAGUUUGACUGGGGCGGUCUCCUCCUAAAGAGUAACGGAGGAGCACGAAGGUUGGCUAAUCCUGGUCGGACAUCAGGAGGUUAGUGCAAUGGCAUAAGCCAGCUUGACUGCGAGCGUGACGGCGCGAGCAGGUGCGAAAGCAGGUCAUAGUGAUCCGGUGGUUCUGAAUGGAAGGGCCAUCGCUCAACGGAUAAAAGGUACUCCGGGGAUAACAGGCUGAUACCGCCCAAGAGUUCAUAUCGACGGCGGUGUUUGGCACCUCGAUGUCGGCUCAUCACAUCCUGGGGCUGAAGUAGGUCCCAAGGGUAUGGCUGUUCGCCAUUUAAAGUGGUACGCGAGCUGGGUUUAGAACGUCGUGAGACAGUUCGGUCCCUAUCUGCCGUGGGCGCUGGAGAACUGAGGGGGGCUGCUCCUAGUACGAGAGGACCGGAGUGGACGCAUCACUGGUGUUUGGGUUGUCAUGCCAAUGGCACUGCCCGGUAGCUAAAUGCGGAAGAGAUAAGUGCUGAAAGCAUCUAAGCACGAAACUUGCCCCGAGAUGAGUUCUCCCUGACCCUUUAAGGGUCCUGAAGGAACGUUGAAGACGACGACGUUGAUAGGCCGGGUGUGUAAGCGCAGCGAUGCGUUGAGCUAACCGGUACUAAUGAACCGUGAGGCUUAACCU
rnacentral:rRNA from 1 species